AUGCCAGUCUCCCGAUGCUCCCUCAGAAACUGGUCCUGCACGCACAUUUACUUGAGUCCAACCUGCAGCUUCUUCCAUCCCACUCUCAGACCCAUCAUCCCCAGAAAAACCUUCAAACAUUUCAUCUUCCGUGGGAGCAUGUCUCCAUCUCCCCCAUUGGCCAGUAAGGGAGAGACGUCACAGGCGGGGCCCGCACUCCCAUUGGCUGAGGUGCGCAACUUAUUGCUGCUGCAACUUAUUGCUGCUGUCACCCUGCUCCAGCUAGACCAGAAUAAACUCGGUGACCUCUGCUUCAAACUUGAAUUGGUGAUAACGAAACCAGUCUUUGAUACCCAGUUCAUCUUUUCCCCUCAAUGCCCAUUGGCCAUCAUUUCUGGAGGAGCUUUGAAAGAUAAGAACUUCACGCCUUUCUGA
rnacentral:lncRNA from 1 species